AUUGAACGCUGGCGGCAGGCCUAACACAUGCAAGUCGAGCGGAUGAAGGGAGCUUGCUCCUGGAUUCAGCGGCGGACGGGUGAGUAAUGCCUAGGAAUCUGCCUGGUAGUGGGGGAUAACGUCCGGAAACGGGCGCUAAUACCGCAUACGUCCUGAGGGAGAAAGUGGGGGAUCUUCGGACCUCACGCUAUCAGAUGAGCCUAGGUCGGAUUAGCUAGUUGGUGGGGUAAAGGCCUACCAAGGCGACGAUCCGUAACUGGUCUGAGAGGAUGAUCAGUCACACUGGAAGUGAGACACGGUGCAGACUCCUACGGGAGGCAGCAGUGGGGAAUAUUGGACAAUGGGCGAAAGCCUGAUCCAGCCAUGCCGCGUGUGUGAAGAAUGUCUUCGGAUUGUAAAGCACUUUAAGUUGGGAGGAAGGGCAGUAAGUUAAUACCUUGCUGUUUUGACGUUACCAACAGAAUAAGCACCGGCUAACUUCGUG
rnacentral:rRNA from 1 species